rnacentral:rRNA from 1 species
GAUGAACGCUGGCGGCGUGCCUAAUACAUGCAAGUCGAGCGAACGGACGAGAAGCUUUCUUUUCUGAUGUUAGCGGCGGACGGGUGAGUAACACGUGGAUAACCUACCUAUAAGACUUGGAUAACUUCGGGAAACCGGAGCUAAUACCGGAUAAUAUUUUGAACCGCAUGGUUCAAAAGUGAAAGACGGUCUUGCUGUCACUUAUAGAUGGAUCCGCGCUGCAUUAGCUAGUUGGUAAGGUAACGGCUUACCAAGGCAACGAUGCAUAGCUGACCUGAGAGGGUGAUCGGCCAAACUGGAACUGAGACACGGUCCAGACUCCUACGGGAGGCAGCAGGAGGGAAUCUGCCGCAAUGGGCGAAAGCCUGACGGAGCAACGCCGCGUGAGUGAUGAAGGUCUUCGGAUCGUAAAACUCUGUUAUUAGGGAAGAACAGAUGUGUAAGUAACUGUGCACAUCUGGACGGUACCUAAGCAGAAAGCCACGGCUAACUACGU